GGCCACCUGUGAAGCAUACCGGGAGUCGUAGUCCGCGCGCGCUCUGGGUGUACUGGGCGCUUCAUGGCCGCCGGCACUGCGCUUGCCUACUCUUCCGCUCGGCCCUAGAAAGUUUCGUUUCUGCCCAGCGGUGGACCCACGAGCGUGUGCCACCAUGGACUGUGACCAUUGCUGACUGGCAGCCACACAGCACUGAAGUGAUAACCUGCUUGGAUCUACACGUGUAAGAAAGAGGAAAACUAUGGCUUCUAGCAGCACUGAGACGCAGCUCCAGAGGAUCAUCCGUGAUCUACAAGAUGCAGUGACAGAACUAAGCAAUGAAUUUAAGGAAGGCGGAGAACCAAUCACAGAUGACAGCACCAGCUUGCACAAGUUUUCUUACAAACUUGAGUAUCUUCUGCAAUUUGAUCAGAAGGAGAAGGCUAGCCUCCUGGGUAGCAAG
rnacentral:lncRNA from 1 species